rnacentral:rRNA from 1 species
GACGAACGCUGGCGGCGUGCUUAACACAUGCAAGUCGAACGGAAAGGCCCUGCUUUUGUGGGGUGCUCGAGUGGCGAACGGGUGAGUAACACGUGAGUAACCUGCCCUUGACUUUGGGAUAACUUCAGGAAACUGGGGCUAAUACCGGAUAGGAGCUCCUGCUGCAUGGUGGGGGUUGGAAAGUUUCGGCGGUUGGAGAUGGACUCGCGGCUUAUCAGCUUGUUGGUGGGGUAGUGGCUUACCAAGGCUUUGACGGGUAGCCGGCCUGAGAGGGUGACCGGCCACAUUGGGACUGAGAUACGGCCCAGCCUCCUACGGGAGGCAGCAGUGGGGAAUAUUGCACAAUGGGCGGAAGCCUGAUGCAGCAACGCCGCGUGCGGGAUGACGGCCUUCGGGUUGUAAACCGCUUUCGCCUGUGACGAAGCGUGAGUGACGGUAAUGGGUAAAGAAGCACCGGCUAACUACGUG